rnacentral:misc_RNA from 1 species
AACAUCGCGCACCUGCGGGAACCUGCGGAGGGAUCAUUACCGAGUUUACAACUCCCAAACCCCUGUGAACAUACCUAUACGUUGCCUCGGCGGAUCAGCCCGCGCCCCGUAAAACGGGACGGCCCGCCCGAGGACCCUAAACUCUGUUUUUAGUGGAACUUCUGAGUAAAACAAACAAAUAAAUCAAAACUUUUAACAAUGGAUCU